UGUCUUAUAACUGAAUGCCUUUUGUGUCAUUGACCUCAGUGUUGUAACCAAAGAUCAAGAGAACGUAGCUCCUGUAGAUGAGCUGGACAAUCCUGCACCCAUAGACCCACAGAACAGGACAAGGAGAGAUGACUCCAGCACAACUAAACCUCCAGUGGAAGGAGUGACCAAGUCAGGCGAUGGAGGUGCUGCAAAGACGGAUCCUCUGUGGAAAAUUGUCCUCAUUGUCUGCUGUUGUGUCGCUGCUGCCAUUGUUGUCAUUGUUCUUAUCCUGUUGAAGCUUGGAAAGAUCUGUAAGUUAGAAACUUCUGUUCUACAGUAUUUUAAAAUUAACUCUGGAGUCUAACUAUGUAUAUUUACUCUAAUAUAAGACAACCCCAACUUCUUAAAAGUUAUUUCCACUAAAUAAAAUCUUAAAUUGGAGCCAGUACUGUUUCUAAAACUGGCUUCAACAGUAAAAUGCUGCUUACACAUUGAUGCAUCAAUAUUGACAAUCUAAUAAUGGUAGAUAGAAUAAAAAUAAAUCAUGGAGAGGUAUAUUGUCUAUUGGUGCUCCCCACAAUAUCAAGCUAGAUGGAAGGAUAUUGAGUUGAAACUGGGCCAGGAUCCCCCUCAAACCAAGCUAGGGGAAAUAGAGCAUACAGACCCCAAGGGAGACGAUUCAAUAUUAAAAGAAACACUUAGAAUAUGGUGCGAGGUGGUUAAAAAAUACAAAUUGACAGU